GUGCUCACUUCGGCAGCACAUAUACUAAAAUUGGAACCAUACAGAGAAGAUUAGCAUGGUCCCUGAGCAAGGAUGACACGCAAAAACAAACAAACAAACAAACAGAA